rnacentral:lncRNA from 1 species
UGGUCUGCAGACCUUUGUAAAGUAUUGGUGUCUGCUAUUCCUCCUGCCUGUUUCUCUUCGCGUAGCUCAGCUAACUGAUGCUUCAGUUGUUCAUGUGGAUCUGCACAGCUUUGUAACGUAUUGGUGUCUGUAUCUACUGCUGCUUUGUUUUCUUCAGAAAUUUCAGAUGUCUGAUGGAUAAGUUCUUCUGUGGAUUCAGAUAUCUUUUCACUGUUUCUUCCAUUUGUUUCUUUUUCAACCGGAGUAUCGAGACUAUAGCUAAUAUCUAUUUCUCUGUUUUGUAGCUCAAGCUUAUCUGCAUCUGGGGUGUACUUAUUAUGAUUUUGGAACCCGAAAUCAGAGCUUUCAACCUGUUGAAUGAGCCAUUCAUGAUUUGGUUGGUAUCCAGAAAUAACUGAAAGGGUGAGGAAAUAAGAGAAAUUGCUGGAGGCUGCUAGCAUGAUGUAAUAAAACACUAUUGCAGUGGAUAUGCUGCUUCUAGCUGUGAUUCGUCUUGAGAUAAUCUGUAAGUUUUAUUCAUGUUUCUGUAAUGGUUGUAACGGUAAAGGGGGGAACAUCAAGUUCUGUUUUGCUAGCUUUUCUUUAACUUCUUUCCUGUACUGUUAUAAUUUAGUUCCAAUUUUAUAAUGCAGAAAUGUGAUUUUUUGUAGCAGAUUGCCAAUCGGCAUUUAUGUUAUACUCUGCCUGCUUAUAUGAAAUGUUUCAUGCAGUUGGCCAUACAUAAUGUUCUCACAACAACAUCUCCUCAAUCCUCUCUUUGCAGAAGGGAACGGAGACUCAAAUUAAUUAUAUUCCUCUAGAGAUUUGUGACCUUAACUAACUUGGAGUUGUGACUUAGUUGUUGUUCUGAAAAUAUCGUUCACUGGAGAAUUAAAUUUCUUGUCUCAUUAGCAUGCAAUAAACUCGUAGAUUCUUAGUAGAUGCUAAUCAGCAAAUUCAUUAUAAGUUCUUGUUCACUUACCUUGUUAGUACAGUCCUCCACCCUCAUUUCUUCUGAAGAAAGUUCAGUUACGUUCUCUGCUCCAUGGGAGUCAUUAGCCUCUUCUGUGGUUAGAUUGGCUUGCUGACCAUUCUGCAGAAAAAAAAGAGAGCAAUCCAGUGAUGAAGAAAGAGAGAAAGCAGCAUUUCUAUUUUACCUUGGGCUUAGGUAUAUGAAUUGUAAACAGGCUUGUGUGGUCACUUAACCUCUUGAUUGGGGAUUUCUGAAACCACUUUGCUUUCUUCAAAGUUAUUUGCCGCCAUCUCUUCUUUGGCGGAUGUUAGAAGUUCAUCUAGAGUCGUUUCUUCUUUUUGUAGGGCAUUAUUGUUUGACUCAUCACCAGCAUUGAUAUCUUUAAGUUCUUUUAUCUGUUUGUAGAGAUAGUUUUUUUUUUUUUGGUCAAAUGAAAGAUUAUAGUGACAGAUUUUAUUAUGAUUUAUGACUAGUUUAGGCACAUGAAAAAAUAUCAUACUAUUAAUAGAAGGCAGACAUUUAAUACCUCAGUUUCAACUUCUUUGCAAGGUUGUGCUGUUUCUUUGACAAACCGUUCUGCCUGUUUUCCAAUCAAAGCUUCUUCUUUCUCUACAUUAUGUGUUUCAGAUUCAUCAAUUCUUUCAGUGGCAGCUUCUGUCUCUUCCCUGUUUUGUUUUUUGGGUUCUUCAAUUGGUGGUUCUUUAGGUUUCUCUUCAAUUAUUGGUUCUUCAAGUUUCUCUUUACCUGCUAGUUCUUCAGGUAUCUCAUUAACUGUUGGUUCUUCAAAGUUCUCAACUGCUGAUUCCUCAGGUUUCUCCUCAACUGAUGGUUCUUCAUGUUUUUCAUCAACUGUAGCUUCUUCAGGUUUCACCUCAACUGUUGGUUCCUCAAGUUUUUGGUCAACUACUUGUUCUUCAGUUGCUAGUUCUUCAGGUUUCUUUUCAACUGCUAGCUCUUCACGUGUCUCUUUAACCACUGGUUCUUCAGGUGUUUCUUUCACCUCUGGUUCUUGAGAUUGCUCCUCAAUCACUGAUUCUUGGGGUUUCUCUUCACUUUUUGGUUUGGGUGUUACUUCAACUGCUGGUUCUUCAGGUUUUCCUUCAACUGCUAGUUCUUCAGGUUUUUCAUCAAUUGUUGGUUCUUCAAGUUUCUCUUGAACUGUUGGUUCUUUUGGUUUCUCUUGAACUUCUGGUUCUUGAGGUUUCUCUUCAAUCAUUGGUUGUUCAGGUGUUUCUUUCGCCACAGGUUCUUCUAGUGUCCCUUCAAUCACUGGUUCGUCGGAUUUCUCCUCAACCGCUGGUUCUUUGGGUUUCUCCUCAACUUUUGAUUCUUCAAGUUUCUCCCUAACAACUGGUUCUUCUGGUUUCUGUUCAACUGUCGGUUCCACUGGUUUCUCUUCAACUGCUGAAUCUUCAGGCGUUUCCUCAACUUCAAUGGUAUUGCAUGAAAUUUCUUGAGGUUUCUCGUCAACUAGUUGUUCAGGUGUCCCUUCAACUGCUGGUUUGUCAGGUUUCUCUGGUUCUUCGAGUUUCUCCUCAAUUUUUGGUUCUUCGGGUUUCUCCUCGAUGUCAAAUUCUUCCCGUUUCUCUUCAACUGUCGAUUCCUUGAGUUUCUCUUCAACUGCUGAAUCUUCGGGUUUUUCCUCAAUUUCAGCAAAAUCAUUGUUGGUAUUGCAUGAAAUUUCAUUGCCAGUCUUAUCAUUUGAGUCCACAACAUGCUUAUUCUGCUAGAAGAAAGUUUCACUUAAUUUUUCAAUAGAUAAGCAGAUGUGAAUUCAUUGCACAUACAUAACUAUUAGGAUGGACAACUUUGUGACAGUGUUUGAUCCUCACCUUUUCGAGGGGCGUUACCUUUUCAGCUGCUGCUUUCUCUAGUUUCUCUUCAACAACUACUUCUUCAUGUUUCUCUUCAGCUACUUGUUUGUCAGGUGUUUCUUCCCGUGCUGGUUUAUCAACUGUUUCUUCCCCUGCAACUGGUUCGUCAAGCUUCUCUUCAACUACUAAUUUUUCAGGUGUUUCCUCAACCAUUAGUUCUUCGAAUUUCUCCGAUACAACUGGUUCUUUAGGUUUCUCUUUCAGUGCAGGUUCCUCAUAUUUUUUUUCUAUUACUGUUUCUUCAUGUUUUUCCUCAACAGCUGGAUAGUCAGAAACAUCACUGUUGUCGUUGCACAGAAUUUCACCAUUAAUCUUGUCUGUUGAGUGACUUGAGUCCGUAUCUGGCAUAUUCUACAAGAAGAAUUUAAAGAUUCACUAAGACUUUUAAUAGAUAAGUAGAUGCAAAUUCCUUGCAUGUAUAGAGCUAAUAGGAUGGUAAACUCUGCGACAGUGCUCGAUUACCUUUUCCAAGAGAGUCACCGUUUCAACUGCUUGUUUUUCAGAUUUCUGUUCAAUAGCUAGUUCUUCCGGUGUCUCUUCAACUGCUGGUUUGUUGGGAUUCUCUUCAACUAUUAGGUCUUCAGGUGUUUCCGCUCUUGCUUGCUCUACAAGUGUUUCUUCAAUUGCCAAUUUUUGAAGUUUCUCAUUUAUUACUGGUUCUUCAGGUUUAUCCUCAACAAUUGGUUCCUCAUGUUUUUCCUCAACCAUUGGUUCUUCAGUUUUUUCCUCAACUGCUGGAUAGUCAGCAACAUCAAUGUUGGUAAUGCAUGGAGUUUCAGUGUCAGUCUUCCCUUUUGAAUCUAUAGCUGACAUAUCCUGCAAGAAAAAUUUAAAGUUUUACUUAGUCUUCCAAUAGAUAAACAUAUGUGAAUUGUUGCACAUACAUAACUAAUAGUACAGUUAAAGCUUGUGAUUGUACUUGAUCCUUACCUCUUCCAACAAAGUUACCUUUUCAGGUUUCUCUUCGAUUACUAGUUUUUCAAGGUUCUUUUCAUCUGCUAGAUCUUCAGGUGUUUCUUCAACUACAGGUUCUUCAGAUUUCUCUUCAACUGUUGGUUCUUCAAGUUUCUCCUCGAAAACUUGUUCUUCAGUUUUUUUUUCCACAGCCGGUUCUUCAGGUUUCUCUGUCACUGCUGGUUCAUCAGUUUUUUCAUUAACCGCUGGUUCUUCACGUUUCUCUUCAAUCACUUGUUUUUCAUGUUUUUCUUUAACUACCUGUACUUCAGCUUUAUCUUCAACUGUUGGAUAGUAAGCAACAUCGUUGUUUGAAUUGCCUAGAAUUUCACUGUCAAUCUUGUCCUUUGAGUCUACAAUUGGCAUAUUCUGCAAGAGAAGUUCAAAAAUUCGAUUUAAUCUUCCAAUAGAUUGGCAUAUGUGAGUUCGUUGCACAUAUAAAGCUAUUAGAAUGGAUAAACUUUGUGACAUUGUUUAUCCUCACCUUCUCUAGGAGAGUUUCCAUUUCUGGUUUCUCCUCUUCAAUUGCUGGUUUGUCAUGUUUCUCUUCAACAGCUAUCUCUUCAGAGGUCUCUUCAACCAUUGGUUCUUCAGGUUUCUCUUCAAGUGGUAGUUCAGGUGUUUCCUCCCCUGCUAGCUCUUCAGGUGUUUCUUUAGUUGUUGGUUCUUCAAGUUUCUCUUCAACAGUUGGUUCUUUAGGUUUCUCCUCAACUGGUUCUUCAGAUUUCUCCUCAAUUGUUGGUUCUUCAGGUUUCUCCAUAAUUGCUGGUAUAUCAAGUUUCUCUUCAAUAACCGGUUUUUCCACAGCUGCUGGUUUUUCAGGGUUUUUCUCAUCUUCUAGAAAGUGAGCAGCAUUGUUGCUAGUAUUGCAGGGAAUUUUAUUGUCAGUUUUUUCCUUCGAGUCUGCAACUAGCAAAUUCUGUAAGAAGAAUUUAAAGUUUCACUUAGUCUUUCAGUAGAUAAGCAGAUGUAAAUUGUUGUACAUACAUAACUAAUAGGACAGAUAAACUUUAUGACAGUGCUUGACCCUUGCCUUAUCCAAAAGAGUUACCUUUUCUGGUUUCUCCUCUUCACCUGUUGGUUCUUCAGGUUUCACCUCUUCAACUGCUGGCUCUUCAGGUUUUUCUUCACAUGCUAGUUCAUUAGGUGUUUCUUCCCGUGUUGAUUCUUUGGGUGUCUCUUCAGUUAUUGUCUUUUCAGGUUUCUCUUCAACCUUUGGUUCUUCAAGUUUCUCCUCUGCCAAUGGUUCUUCAAAUUUCUCCUCCACAGUUGGUUUUUCACGUUCUUCUUCAACUGCCAGUUCUUCAAGUUUUUUCUCAACCGCUGGUUCUUCAGGCUUCUCCAUAACAGCCAAUACUUCAGAUUUUUCUUCAAUCAUUGUUUCAUCAUUAUCUUUUUCAACUACUAGUUCUUGAGGUUUUUCCUCGACUGAUUCAUAGUCAGCAAUAUCAUUGUUGGUAUUGCAAGGAAUUGCAUUAUCUAUCUUGUCCUUUGGGUCUUCCAUUGGAAAAUUCUGCAAGAAAUUUAGAGUUCUACUUAGUAUUUAAAUAGAUAAACAUAUGUAAAUUCGUUGCACAUAUAAAGCCUAAUUUGAUGAAUAAACUUUGUGACAAUGUUUAAUCCUGACCUUCUCUAGAAGAGCUUCUGUUUCAGGUUUCUCCUCUUCAACAAUUAGUUCUUUAGGUGUCUUUUCAACCGUUGGUUCUUCAGUUUUCUCUUCAAGUGCUAAUUCUUCAGGUGUUUCCUCCCCUUCUAGCUCUUCAGGUGUUUCUUCAGCCGCUGGUUCUUGAGGUUCCUCCUCAACCACUGGUUCUUCAGGUUUCUCCUUAACCGCUGGUACAUCAAGUUUCUCUUCAAUAGUUGGUUCUUCAGGUUUUUCUUCAACUACUGACUCUUCAAGAUUUUCCUCAACUUGUGGAGGGUGAGCAACAUCAUUAUUGGUAUUGCAUGGAGUUUCACUGCCAGUUUUGUCGUUUGAGUCUACAACUAGCAUAUUCUGCG